rfam:Gossypium raimondii Chr08_contig_770, whole genome shotgun sequence.
AUUCCAUGGUGUGGGAAUUUUCUCAACAUUGUCUUGAAACGCUCCUACGCCUUGUACAGGGACUCACCUUUGUAUUGUUUGAAAUUUGUAAUUUCCCGUCGGAGUUG